GAGUUUUAACAGGAAAAUCUUAAAGCACUUAGCUAGGAGGAUUCAAGACACAUGGUUGUAAGGUGUCCAAGGAUUUUGAUUUUCACCGAAACCUAGUGAUAUGCGUGGAGUAUUUGUUUAUUUCAUUCAAUGAACCACUUAGUUCAAGAUCCGUUCACUAACCAGUCAAUGAUUUUUAAAAGUCUUCACUAGCUAAUAGUUUAAGUCCAAAAGACACCAUUAUUGAAGCAUGUUGCUAGAUUAACGUCUCAAAAUAUUUUUUAGAUUUUUCAAAGAUAAAAUUUCUUGAAACAAGUGGGGGU
rnacentral:lncRNA from 1 species